UACGGGGGGGGCAAGCGUUGUUCGGAAUUACUGGGCGUAAAGGGCGCGUAGGCGGCCAACUAAGUCGGAUGUGAAAUCCCCAGGCUCAACUUGGGAACUGCAUCCGAUACUGGUCGGCUUGAAUCCGGGAGAGGGAUGCAGAAUUCCAGGUGUAGCGGUGAAAUGCGUAGAUAUCUGGAGGAACACCGGUGGCGAAGGCGGGUCUCUGGGCAAUAACUGACGCUGAUGCGCGAAAGCCAGGGGAGCGAACGGG
rnacentral:rRNA from 1 species